GAUGAACGCUAGCUACAGGCUUAACACAUGCAAGUCGAGGGGAAACGAUAGAGAAAGCUUGCUUUUUCUAGGCGUCGACCGGCGCACGGGUGAGUAACGCGUAUCCAACCUGCCCAUCACUUGGGGAUAACCUUGCGAAAGUAAGACUAAUACCCAAUGACGUCCAUAGAAGACAUCUGAAAGGGAUUAAAGAUUUAUCGGUGAUGGAUGGGGAUGCGUCUGAUUAGCUUGGUGGCGGGGUAACGGCCCACCAAGGCGACGAUCAGUAGGGGUUCUGAGAGGAAGGUCCCCCACAUUGGAACUGAGACACGGUCCAAACUCCUACGGGAGGCAGCAGUGAGGAAUAUUGGUCAAUGGGCGAGAGCCUGAACCAGCCAAGUAGCGUGCAGGAUGACGGCCCUAUGGGUUGUAAACUGCUUUUAUAAGGGAAUAAAGUGAGCCUCGUGAGGCUUUUUGCAUGUACCUUAUGAAUAAGGACCGGCUAAUUCCGUGCCAGCAGCCGCUGUAA
rnacentral:rRNA from 1 species